rnacentral:rRNA from 1 species
UAAUUUGUUAAUAGAAAUAACUUUUUUGUUUUAGUAUUUUUUAGAGAAUAAAUUAAUUAUUUAUUUAUAGUUAAUAUUUACUGUAAAGGAUAAUAUUAAAGGAUAUAUAAGUAGAAUUAAUUUUUUGUACCUUUUGUAUCAGGGUUUAUCUAUAUUUUAUAUUUAUUAAUAUUGUUCCCGAAAUUAAAAGAGCUAUUGAUUAUUUGAUUUUUAAUGUUACAAAAUUAUAUUGAAAAUAUCAAUAGAUGUGAUAUGCUAUUCAUUUUUAUAUAUCUGGUUUUUUAAUAAUUGAGUUUAAUUCAGGAUUAUCUAAUUCCAAUAGAUCAAUUUAUUUUUUUUGUAUAUUGAUAAUCUAAAUCUUAAAGGGAUAAGCUUUUGAGAUACAUCUAUAAUUAUUUUAAUAAUAUAAAAUUAGUAGGAUUAAAAAUUUUCAUCAUUAUAUUUUGUUAUAAUUAAAUUUAUUAUUUAUUUUAUUUUGUUUUAAUUUAGAUCUUUAUUAAAUUUUAGUUAUGAAUAUUUUAUAAUUAGUAAUAAUGAUAAGAUUAGUAAAUUUGAAAUUAAUAUAUAGUAAUUCGGCAAAUAUAUUCUUCACCUGUUUAACAAAAACAUGUCUUAAUGUUAAAUUAUAUUAGGUUUGGCCUGCUCAAUGAUUUUUUUAAAUAGCCGCAGUAUUUUGACUGUGCGAAGGUAGCAUAAUCACUUGUCUUUUAAUUGAAGGCUGGAAUGAAUGGUCGGAUGAGGGAAUAGCUUUCUUUAUAUUAAUAAAUUGAAUUUAAUUUUUAGGUAAAAAAGCUUAAAUUUUAAAGGGGGACGAGAAGACCCUAUAGAAUUUUAUUUUCAAUUAAUUAUAAAUUUAUUUUGUUAAUUAAAAUCUUAUUUUAUUGGAAAUUUUGUUGGGGUGACAUUGAGAUUUUUUUAACUCUCAUAUUUUAUUAUUUAUUUAUAUGUAUAUAUAUAAUCCUUUAUUAUGGAAUUUAGAUUAAAUUACCUUAGGGAUAACAGCGUAAUUCUUUUGGAGAGUUCUUAUCGAUGGAAGAGUUUGCGACCUCGAUGUUGGAUUAAAAUUAGAUUUAAGUGCAGAAGCUUAAUUUCUAGGUCUGUUCGACCUUUAAAAUUUUACAUGAUCUGAGUUCAGACCGGCGUGAGCCAGGUCGGUUUCUAUCUUCUUUAUUUUUAAAGUAUAAAAUAGUACGAAAGGACCUUUUAUAUCAAAAAAUUUGUUUAUGUUGAAUAUU